AGGAAACCUUAUACACAAGUCUUUGUUUUCUUUAUCCUCUCAUAUUAUAUUAUACAAAUAUAUAGUUUUCUGUGUUACCUGACGCCAUGGAUCCGAAAGAAAUCUCCAUAAAUGUUGAUGAUGAACAGGGUCUGUUUAAGAUUCUAUCUCUGACUUGGACAGUUGAGCUUGAUGAAGAUCAUAGAUCUGAAAAUUUUGGUAUAGGAACAUUGUUGAAUGUUUUAUUGGCUGAUUCAGAAAUUGGCAAGGCUUUUGGUGGAGUUGAACAGAUACUAGUAGCUGCUACACCUAUUAAGGCUCUAGUUAAUUAUUUUUCUUGAUUAUUGUUAAUUGCAAGAGAUGGUUAGGUCACUAUUAUAAGGAAAAUGUUGCUCGAAUUCAUCUAGAAUUAUGGUUUGUUUUCUUAUAUUUAAAUUAUGUUGUGCUUGCAUUGUUCUUCUUUGAUUGGUAUUGGGAAGCUCUGUCAAAAUUUAAGUUAAAAAGAUAGUAUAUUAAUAGGAAUAUGACAACGCUAAAAAUUUGUUAUGGGAAUUUUCUACAUGCAGGAGGAUUUUAGUCGAAUUUUAGGGAAACCUCUGUCGAAUUUUUUUCUAGGAAAUGGACAAGAGUUUGAUAACAAAGGACAUGCUUUCAAAAGAGUAUGAAGAGGGAGUUGACAACUUUAUUUUCCUCGUCAACCAUUACAAUCAGUACAAUGUGGAUUCUAUGUUAUGAGGAUGAUGAAAGACUUCGUGACAAAGGAGUUUUCAAUGCGAUGGCUAACUAGUAACUGUGGCGGGAAGAACUCUUACACAAAGGAUGAGAUCAACGAAGUGCGUGAAGAAUGGGCACAAUGCGUCAUGAAUUUGAUUAGUACUACAUAGGUCCAGUCACUUUUGUUAACUUAGACUUUUAAGGAGAUACACUUACAAUGUUAACUGAGACUUUCUUGAAGAUAUACAUACUUUUAUUGUCUAACUAUAGUUUACAAUGCUUAUAUGAGUAAUUUGUAAUUAACUUUAGACUCGUUAUUUUGGAUACUUAGUUCAAAUUCUAGUAUUUUAUAUUACUAUGA